rnacentral:rRNA from 1 species
GAUGAACGCUGGCGGCGUGCCUAAUACAUGCAAGUCGAGCGAACAGACGAGGAGCUUGCUCCUCUGACGUUAGCGGCGGACGGGUGAGUAACACGUGGAUAACCUACCUAUAAGACUGGGAUAACUUCGGGAAACCGGAGCUAAUACCGGAUAAUAUAUUGAACCGCAUGGUUCAAUAGUGAAAGACGGUUUUGCUGUCACUUAUAGAUGGAUCCGCGCCGCAUUAGCUAGUUGGUAAGGUAACGGCUUACCAAGGCAACGAUGCGUAGCCGACCUGAGAGGGUGGACGGCCACACUGGAACUGAGACACGGUCCAGACUCCGACGGGAGGCAGCAGUAGAGAAUCUUCCGCAAUGGGCGAAAGCCUGACAUAGCAACGCCGCGGGAGUGAUGAAGGACUUCGGAUCGUAAAACGCUGUUAUUAGGGAAGAACAAAUGUGUAAGUAACUAUGCACGUCUUGACGGUACCGAAUCAGAAAGCCACGGCUAACUACGU